rnacentral:ncRNA from 2 species
UGGGCAGUAUCCUCUGGGAACUGCACCUGGAAAGCAUGCAACUUAUAAAAAAACAGUCUGCCUUGAUCCAAAAAGGACUGGGACAGAGGG